GAGCUAACGCGUUAAGUAGACCGCCUGGGGAGUACGGCCGCAAGGUUAAAACUCAAAUGAAUUGACGGGGGCCCGCACAAGCGGUGGAGCAUGUGGUUUAAUUCGAUGCAACGCGAAGAACCUUACCUGGUCUUGACAUCCACAGAAGAAUCCAGAGAUGGAUUUGUGCCUUCGGGAACUGUGAGACAGGUGCUGCAUGGCUGUCGUCAGCUCGUGUUGUGAAAUGUUGGGUUAAGUCCCGCAACGAGCGCAACCCUUAUCCUUUGUUGCCAGCGGUUAGGCCGGGAACUCAAAGGAGACUGCCAGUGAUAAACUGGAGGAAGGUGGGGAUGACGUCAAGUCAUCAUGGCCCUUACGACCAGGGCUACACACGUGCUACAAUGGCGCAUACAAAGAGAAGCGACCUCGCGAGAGCAAGCGGACCUCAUAAAGUGCGUCGUAGUCCGGAUUGGAGUCUGCAACUCGACUCCAUGAAGUCGGAAUCGCUAGUAAUCGUGGAUCAGAAUGCCACGGUGAAUACGUUCCCGGGCCUUGUACACACCGCCCGUCACACCAUGGGAGUGGGUUGCAAAAGAAGUAGGUAGCUUAACCUUCGGGAGGGCGCUUACCACUUUGUGAUUCAUGACUGGGGUGAAGUCGUAACAAGGUAACCGUAGGGGAACCUGCGGUUGGAUCACCUCCUUACCUUAAAGAA
rnacentral:rRNA from 1 species